rnacentral:rRNA from 1 species
UUGAUCCUACGGGGGGCAGCAGUGGGGAAUAUUGCACAAUGGGGGAAACCCUGAUGCAGCGACGCCGCGUGAGUGAAGAAGUAUUUCGGUAUGUAAAGCUCUAUCAGCAGGGAAGAAAAUGACGGUACCUGACUAAGAAGCCCCGGCUAACUACGUGCCAGCAGCCGCGGUAAUACGUAGGGGGCGAGCGUUAUCCGGAUUCACUGGGUGUAAAGGGAGCGUAGACGGCCAAGCAAGCCAGGGGUGAAAGCCCGGGGCCCAACCCCGGGACUGCCCUUGGAACUGCAUGGC